UACAGAGGGUGCGAGCGUUACUCGGAAUUACUGGGCGUAAAGCGUGCGUAGACGGUUAUUUAAGUCGGAUGUGAAAGCCCCGGGCUCAACCUGGGAAUUGCAUUCGAGACUGAAUAGCUAGGGUACGGUAGAGGGAAGUGGAAUUUCCGGUGUAGCGGUGAAAUGCGUAGAUAUCGGAAGGAACAUCAGUGGCGAAAGCGACUUCCUGGACCAGUACCGACGUGCAGGCACGAAAGCGUGGGGAGCAAACAGG
rnacentral:rRNA from 1 species